rnacentral:rRNA from 1 species
CCUACGGGGGCAGCAGUCGAGAAUCAUUCACAAUGGGGGAAACCCUGAUGGUGCGACACCGCGUGAACGAGGAAGGUCUUCGGAUCGUAAAGUUCUGUUGAAGGGGAAAAAGAGCGGAGAGAGGAAAUGGUCUCCGAUUGAUAUUACCCUUCGAGGAAGUCACGGCUAACUACGUGCCAGCAGCCGCGGUAAUACGUAGGUGGCGAGCGUUAUCCGGAAUGAUUGGGCGUAAAGGGUGCGUAGGCGGCCUGCUAAGUCUGGAGUGAAAGGUACCGGCUCAACCGGUACAGGCUCUGGAAACUGGCGGGCUAGAGAGCAGGAGAGGGCGGUGGAACUCCAUGUGUAGCGGUAAAAUGCGUAGAUAUAUGGAAGAACACCAGUGGCGAAGGCGGCCGCCUGGCCUGUUACUGACGCUGAGGCACGAAAGCGUGGGGAGCAAAUAGGAUUAGAUACCCGAGUAGUC